AUAGCGCUGUUCUUAUUAGACGUAUAAGGUUAAGUUACCUUAAUAUUAUAAUCAAUCUUCGUUUAAAAAAUAGAUUGAUAGAUACGUUUGAUCCUAUGGCUUGUUAUAGUGAUAUACUUUCGUUAUGUGUAAUAAUUAUGUUAAAUUAAUACCAAUAUUCAAAAAAUCAUUUGCAUAACCAUAUUCUCAAUAUAUAUAGAUAUAUCAUAAAAUAUUUUACUAUAAUGUCUUUAUUACGAAUUAUUCGAUAUAACGAAUUAUCCGUUAUUUUUCCGUUAACUGCAAGAGAAUUCCUUUUGAGUAAUUCGUCAAAAAGAAAGAGCAAUGUCGUCAUUCAAUUCAAGAGAGGCUUCAACUAUACAGUUAGUUCAUCUAUUAAACAAGAGUACAAGAAAGCAAAGAUUCUAUCAAACAUUUAUAAAGUUGGUUGAAGAACAUUAGCAACGGAUGCAACUAAACAUUAAAAAUAAAUAUGAAACAAAUUUCAAGCAAAUAAACAAAAUAAUGAAGUAACAAGAGGUACUGAUCAGUCGCAUUUUUCAUGGAAAGACUUUUUGGAGUAUUUAUAUCCAUAUAUUUGGUAUUUAUUGAUUUCUUUGUCAAGCGCCCUAAUGGUUACAAUGUUAAAUUCUUGGAUACCGCAAUCUUUUGGCAAUAUCAUAAAUAUUGUGACAAAAAUAGUCCAAGACAAAAAAAAUGAUUCUACAUUGAAUACUUUGGAAAUACUUCUUAGACCAACAUUUGUGCUGGCACAUAUAUAUGUUGCACAAGUAUGCACAUUUUAUGUAUUUUCAAAAAUUUCAAAUAUAUAUUCAAAAUAUGUACAUCGUAAGGCUAAAGAAGUUCUACACAAAUUAUUGGUUGUGUUAUUUCUGUAAUAAUGUUAUAGCCUCUGCUCAGAGUAUCAAUAUUAUUAUGUAUGCCAAUAGUUAUAUUUAUUGGUAAUCUAUUGGGAAAAAAACUUGCAUAAGUUUUCUACAAAAACUCAAAAUCAAAUAGUGGAAGCUGCUGUCUGUGAAGAAGUUAUCCAAAAUAUACCAACGGUAAAAACGUUUGUAGCAGGAAAUCAAGAAACAGAAGUAUUUUCUAAAGAAGUUGAACGUGCAACUGAGUUAUAUGAAAAUUUAGAAUUUGGUAUUGGUUUGUUUUUAGCAGGAACAGAUUUAUUUUGAAAUAGUAUUUUACUUCGUUCAUUGUACUUUAGUGAUCAUUUAAUAUCAAUUGGACAAUUAACAUUUGGCGAUCUUAUGGCAUUUUUAAUGGUAACCGAAAUAAUUCAAAGAUCUUUCUCUCAACUAUCUUUACUGCUUGGAACAUACGUAAGAGGAAUCAAUUCAAGUGCCUGUAUUUUUAAAAUAUUUUAUUAUGUUUACUUGCAAGAUUUUACAUAUAUUGUUUAUAAUCGAUUUGAAAUUUCUUUUGUUGUACUUAAAUAUACCACCAUCACCAAUGAUGGUCGGAGGAAAUACAAGAAAAGACUCAGGGAAUAUAGAAUAUAAAAAUUUGAAAUUUAUCCAAGUCGAUCGAAUCACAUUAUUUUGAAAAAUUUUAAUUUGGAUAUCCUUUCUUUAUGAUGUCGACGAGGGUAGCAUAUCUAUUGAUAAAUGGGACAUUAGGUCUCUUCAUUCUAGCUAUUUUAGAAGUAUUGUAUUAACUCAUAUAAAUUAAGAACCUGUACUUUUUGCGACUAGUAUAAUGGGGAAUAUUUGUCAUUGAAAACAAGUUGCGACGGAUGAGAAGAUCAUAAAAGCGGCAAAAGAAGCUAAUGCUCAUGAAUUCAUUACAAAAUUUCCAAGAAGUUAUGAAAUUUAAAAUGACGAGAGAGGCGUAAUAUUAUUUGGUGAAUUAAAGCAAUCAUCGAUUUUAACAUUAGUCAAAACAAUGAUAUGUAAAGAGAUUAAAUAUAAUUAGGCACGUAUCUUAUUCUGUAUUCUAUAUGAAUUUUAUUUUUUUUUUAAAUUUAAUGCAUUGGAUUAUGAAAGCGAAAGAAUGGUUCACAAUGCGUUAGAAAAUGUAACUAGAGAUAGUUAUUGCUCAUAGACUAAGUACUAUUAAACCUGCUUAUGUUAUUAUUGUAUUAAAAUAUGUUAUUGUAGAGAUAGGUUGAAAAAUGA